AGUAACGCGUAGGAAUCUACCUGGUAGUGGGGGACAACAUGGGGAAACUCAUGCUAAUACCGCAUACGCCCUAUGGGGGAAAGCGGGGGACCUUCGGGCCUCGCGCUAUCAGAUGAGCCUGCGUAGGAUUAGCUUGUUGGUGAGGUAAAGGCUCACCAAGGCGACGAUCCUUAGCUGGUCUGAGAGGAUGAUCAGCCACACUGGAACUGAGACACGGUCCAG
rnacentral:rRNA from 1 species